rnacentral:rRNA from 1 species
GACGAACGCUGGCGGCGUGCCUAAUACAUGCAAGUCGAGCGAAGCGGCGGAUGGGGGAGUAAAGCGUGGGUAACCUGCCCUUACGGCUGGGAUAACAUUUGGAAACAGAUGCUAAUAACGGAUACUAAAGAAUGGACCUACAAUGCAGUAGCUAGUGGGUAAGGUAACGGCUUACCAAGGCUAUGAUGCAUAGCCGAGUUGAGAUACUGAUCGGCCACAGUGGGACUGAGACACGGCCCAAACUCCUACGGGAGGCAGCAGUAGGGAAUCUUCCACAAUGGACGAAAGUCUGAUGGAGCAACGCCGCGUGAGUGAAGAAGGUGUUCGGAUCGUAAAGCUCUGUUGUUGGUGAAGCGGUAAUCAACCAGAAAGUCACGGCUAACUACGUGCCAGCAGCCGCGGUAAUUC